AAUGGGUUGCAAAACCCAUGUUUGACAACACCACACAGGCCUUUCGUCAUGAUCUUGUUGAGCGUGUGCUGAGAAGGAGAGAGGACAGCACUGUCAUCUUCUCCUACACUUUACCCCCUCGUAAACCAGGACCAAGGAAAUUGCUCCAGAACAUUGCUCCAAUUCCAAGGCCGGACAAGGGUGAUCUGGUCGCUCAUACCAAAACUUCGCUUGUUAUGGACUGUGCUUUCUUAUGUUCAGAGUGAUUUAUGUAUGGGUUUACUGCCUCCUACUGGCCAUUUCAAUGUCUAAGUGUUGUAUUCUGAAGUAGGAAGUAGCUGCUUUAGUGAUACAGGAAGUAGUUGUGCUGGGUGACCCCGGAAGUUGUUUUCAGCAUGCACAAGGGAUUCAGUUCAGAUAUGUAGGUGCUGCGGUAACGUCUCUCGCAUCCUCCUUCAUAAGUCUUGCUAAACGCAAUGUCUUUUCACAAACUUUAUUGAUAAACUCCACAAACGGCACAGUGUCUCCUGUGGCUUUAUUGAUGACUGUUUAGAUGGCUGGAUAGCUACGGAGUUAGUGAGACCAGUGACAUCGCUUUUGAGCUUGACAACACCACUAUUAUCUGACCAUGUUGACAUUUUUUAUAUAAAGCUUACACUGUUCUGUAAUUUAUUGUUGUAAAAUAAAGUUUUGUUUGUAACUGUAA